rnacentral:lncRNA from 1 species
AGAAACAGGCAGCCUGACUAGAGAACAAACUACCAAUUAACGAGCGAGGAAACAGGGCCAGAGAAUUGGAACAAAAUACAAGGCUGCCUCUGAAAGGAAUAUCUUUGUGCUGAUGUGUCCAUCAAGAGAACAUACACAGAAGUGACACUUGCCAGUAAUUUGCAAGCAGAUGGAACUUCAAUAUGGCAAUAGAGAAAGAAUCAAUUAGACCAGAGUCUCCUCAGGAAGACUUUCUAUAGAUAUCUGGUGAGCAUCUGCUAGAUGCCAGGGUUGGGGAGAGUCAAGUUGAAGCAAGCAUGAACCCUCAAGGACCUACCAUUUCAAGGCAAGAAAUAGAUACAAAUACAGAAAAUAUUUACUGGAUAGCUACUAGACAUAAGGAUGCAGAAAUGAAUUAGAAAAAUUCCUCGCCCUUGUUCAAAGCUAUGCUGGCUCUUAGAACAUCUGAGCCCCCACUGUUUCAUCUUUAGAGGAUCCCAGCUGCUGGGGUGUGAGGCCAGUGCUGGAGCCAGCAGUCUCUGACCCAGAAGGGACCUGAGGUGCUAAAGAAAACAGGCUUGCUUUGCCUAUUCAUACUUAUUACCUAAUAAAUGCAAAAUGGUUGCUGAAGCUCCAGAUGCCACAUCUGUGUCCAAGGGGGGUACAAGCUGGAAAAGGGGAAAAUGAAUCAUGCUACAGGCCAAGUGUCCAUCACUGAUUCCCAGAGAUGCCCUUUGUGUGGUAGGCACUUCCAUGUGGACUCGCUACAGAGGUCAUAAGACCCUAAUUCCAGAGGGCCCUACCCUAUAACCAGAAGGAAGAACUAUUGCACAGAGAAUCUAAGAAGAAUCUAGACAGACAGCCCUUGCUGGAUUUCUCCACUCUGUUAGCAUUCGAUCAUUUGCCUUUUGUCCAGUCAUAUUUCUGCAUGGCUGUCCAUACUUUGUUGAACCUAAGCACAAAAUGGAAAGUUUUCCCUGUAUCUUUGGGUCGUCAUUCUGAAGGCUCCCAUGUUAUGUAAAACUAUGAUCAAAUAAAUAUGCAUGCCUUUUCUCCUAUAA